rfam:Triticum aestivum genome assembly, contig: Triticum_aestivum_CS42_TGACv1_scaffold_062452_1DL
GUGAUACUCCCUCUGUCCGGAAAAACUUGUCCCAAGCUUGUCCCCCUCAAAUGGAUGUAUCUAGCACUAACUUGGUGCUAGAUACAUCCAUUUAAGGGACAAGUUUUUUCGGACGGAGGGAGUACGUC